rnacentral:rRNA from 1 species
UACGUAGGGUCCGAGCGUUGUCCGGAAUUACUGGGCGUAAAGAGCUCGUAGGUGGUUUGUCGCGUUGUUCGUGAAAACUCACAGCUCAACUGUGGGCGUGCGGGCGAUACGGGCAGACUGGAGUACUGCAGGGGAGACUGGAAUUCCUGGUGUAGCGGUGGAAUGCGCAGAUAUCAGGAGGAACACCGGUGGCGAAGGCGGGGUCUCUGGGCCGAUACUGACGUGGAGGAGCGAAAAGCGUGGGGGAGCGAACAGG